rnacentral:rRNA from 1 species
AAUUUGGCGGUGUUUUAUUCUAUUUAGAGGAAUUUGUCCCGUUAUCGAUAAUCCUCGUUUUAUCUUACUUUAUUUUGUUUUCAGUAUGUAUACCGCUGUUAUAAGUUUAUUUUAUUAGAAUAUUAAUUUACUUUAAUUAUUAAUUUAAUUUAUUUCAAGUCAAGGUGCAGCCUAUAAUUAAGUGGUGAUGAAUUACAAUAUUAUUUGAAUAUACGGAUUUUAUUUUAUAACAUUUUUAUGAAGGUGGAUUUAAUUGUAAUUUUAAUUAUAUUAUUAAUUUGAUUUUAGUUCUAAAAUAAGUACACAUCGCCCGUCGCUCUA